GCAUGCCUUACACAUGCAAGUCGAACGGCAGCGCGGGAGCAAUCCUGGCGGCGAGUGGCGAACGGGUGAGUAAUACAUCGGAACGUGCCCAAUCGUGGGGGAUAACGCAGCGAAAGCUGUGCUAAUACCGCAUACGAUCUACGGAUGAAAGCAGGGGAUCGCAAGACCUUGCGCGAAUGGAGCGGCCGAUGGCAGAUUAGGUAGUUGGUGAGGUAAAGGCUCACCAAGCCUUCGAUCUGUAGCUGGUCUGAGAGGACGACCAGCCACACUGGGACUGAGACACGGCCCAGACUCCUACGGGAGGCAGCAGUGGGGAAUUUUGGACAAUGGGCGAAAGCCUGAUCCAGCCAUGCCGCGUGCAGGAUGAAGGCCUUCGGGUUGUAAACUGCUUUUGUACGGAACGAAACGGUCUUUUCUAAUACAGAAGGCUAAUGACGGUACCGUAAGAAUAAGCACCGGCUAACUAC
rnacentral:rRNA from 1 species